UACAGAGGGGGCAAGCGUUAUUCGGAAUUAUUGGGCGUAAAGGGCGCGUAGGCGGCUUUUCAAGUGACGGGUGAAAUCCCUCGGCUUAACCGAGGAACUGCCUGUCAGACUGGAAGGCUUGAGACCGGGAGAGGUGAGUGGAAUUCCCAGUGUAGCGGUGAAAUGCGUAGAUAUUAGGAAGAACACCGGUGGCGAAGGCGGCCCACUGGUCCGGUACUGACGCUGAGGUGCGAAAGCGUGGGGAGCAAACAGG
rnacentral:rRNA from 1 species